AUCCAUCUGACGAGUCCCAGAUAGGACGAAACAUGCAACCUGGAU
rfam:Schistosoma curassoni strain Dakar, Senegal genome assembly, scaffold: SCTD_scaffold0008065